rnacentral:rRNA from 1 species
GGAAAACUUACCAGGUCCAGACAUAGUAAGGAUUGACAGAUUGAAGAUCUUUCUUGAUUCUAUGGAUAGUGGUGCAUGGCCGUUCUUAGUUGGUGGAGUGAUUUGUCUGGUUAAUUCCGUUAACGAACGAGACCUCAGCCCAUUAAUUAGUUGUGUCCCGAAUCUUCGGAUUCGGCCAACUUCUUAGAGGGACUAUCGGAUACACAACCGGUGGAAGUUUGAGGCAAUAA